rnacentral:rRNA from 1 species
UACGAAGGGGGCUAGCGUUGCUCGGAAUCACUGGGCGUAAAGCGCACGUAGGCGGAUUGUUAAGUCAGGGGUGAAAUCCUGGAGCUCAACUCCAGAACUGCCUUUGAUACUGGGGAUCUCGAGUCCGGAAGAGGUUGGUGGAACUCCGAGUGUAGAGGUGAAAUUCGUAGAUAUUCGGAAGAACACCAGUGGCGAAGGCGGCCAACUGGUCCGGCACUGACGCUGAGGUGCGAAAGCGUGGGGAGCAAACAGG